rnacentral:rRNA from 1 species
GACGUAGGGCGCGAGCGUUGUCCGGAUUUAUUGGGCGUAAAGAGCGUGUAGGCGGCCAGAUAGGUCUGCUGUGAAAACUCGAGGCUCAAACCUCGAGAUGUCGGCGGAAACCAUUUGGCUAGAGUCCGGAAGAGGAAAGUGGAAUUCCUGGUGUAGCGGUGAAAUGCGCAGAUAGUCAGGAGGAACACCGGUGGCGAAGGCGGGUCUCUGGGCAACAACUGACG